rnacentral:rRNA from 1 species
ACACGCUGGCGGCGUGGAUUAGGCAUGCAAGUCGAACGGUAUGGACCUUUCGGGGUUCAGAGAGUGGCGAACGGGUGAGUAACACGUAGGUAAUCUACCCUCAAGACGGGGACAACCCAGGGAAACUUGGGCUAAUACCGGAUGUGUGUAGUGGCUAUUUUCUGAUUAUCAUUAUUUACGUAAGUGAGUAAUAAUAAGAAGGGAAAGUGGUUAUUACAUAAAAGGUGGCGUAAGCUGCCGCUUGGGGAUGAGCCUGCGUCCUAUUAGUUAGUUGGUGAGGUAACGGCUUACCAAGGCGAUGAUAGGUAGGCGGCCUUAACGGGUGGUCGCCCACACUGGGAUUGAGAUACGGCCCAGACUCCUACGGGAGGCAGCAGUCGAGAAUAGUCUACAAUGGACGGAAGUCUGAUAGUACGACGCCGCGUGAACGAAGAAUCCCUUCGGGGUGUAAAGUUCUUUUAUACGUGAGCAGUGUCCUUUAUAUUAAUAGUAUAAGGGGAGAGAUAUUAGCGUAUGAAUAAGCAACGGCUAACUCCGUG